rnacentral:tRNA from 1 species
GGUCUGAUAGCUCAACUGGAUAGAGCAACUGCCUUCUAAGCAGUAGGUUCCAGGUUCGAGUCCUGGUCGGAUCA